CGGGGAUUGGCGCAGCGGUAGCGCGCACGGUUCGGGACCGUGAGGUCGUGAGUUCAAAUCUCACAUCCCCGA
rnacentral:tRNA from 1 species